rnacentral:rRNA from 1 species
CGUGCGAUACAGGGUGACAGCCCCGUACACAAAAAUGCACAUAUUGUGAGCUUGAUGAGUAGGGCGGGACACGUGGUAUCCUGUCUGAAUAUGGGGGGACCAUCCUCCAAGGCUAAAUACUCCUGACUGACCGAUAGUGAACCAGUACCGUGAGGGAAAGGCGAAAAGAACCCCGGCGAGGGGAGUGAAAAAGAACCUGAAACCGUGUACGUACAAGCAGUGGGAGCACGCUUAGGCGUGUGACUGCGUACCUUUUGUAUAAUGGGUCAGCGACUUAUAUUCUGUAGCAAGGUUAACCGAAUAGGGGAGCCGAAGGGAAACCGAGUCUUAACUGGGCGUUAAGUUGCAGGGUAUAGACCCGAAACCCGGUGAUCUAGCCAUGGGCAGGUUGAAGGUUGGGUAACACUAACUGGAGGACCGAACCGACUAAUGUUGAAAAAUUAGCGGAUGACUUGUGGCUGGGGGUGAAAGGCCAAUCAAACCGGGAGAUAGCUGGUUCUCCCCGAAAGCUAUUUAGGUAGCGCCUCGUGAAUUCAUCUCCGGGGGUAGAGCACUGUUUCGGCAAGGGGGUCAUCCCGACUUACCAACCCGAUGCAAACUGCGAAUACCGGAGAAUGUUAUCACGGGAGACACACGGCGGGUGCUAACGUCCGUCGUGAAGAGGGAAACAACCCAGACCGCCAGCUAAGGUCCCAAAGUCAUGGUUAAGUGGGAAACGAUGUGGGAAGGCCCAGACAGCCAGGAUGUUGGCUUAGAAGCAGCCAUCAUUUAAAGAAAGCGUAAUAGCUCACUGGUCGAGUCGGCCUGCGCGGAAGAUGUAACGGGGCUAAACCAU